UUAAAUAGCAUGCUCACAGUUCUGGGCUUAGAAUCCUGGUUGGCUGACUUCUGGCUUAUUGCUCUUUUCACAGCCGUAAGCUGUCUCCUGCAAUUGAUUUCUUCAGAGUCCAUGGCUAAUUCUUUAGGAUACCCUAAUCGUGGGCCAUGAAAUUCUUCAUGCUCUGGGAUUUUUGUUUUCCUGAAACCUUUGACACAGAGCUUUCAUUGAGAAGAGGAAAUGAAGAAAGAAGCAUGGUUCCAAGUACCAUGAAUAGCCCCACCCGAGGGGAGCAGUUUAUGUGUGCAGAAAGCGCCCUGGGGGCUGAACAUCGUCACUAUGCUAGGCAAGGAUCCCAGUGAGCAAGGAAAGGCCUGCAGAUGCCUCUCCCAACGAAGACCUGUGCACC
rnacentral:lncRNA from 1 species